rnacentral:rRNA from 1 species
AUGGUGCAAGAUGUGGAGGCGAGAUCUAAAUCCAGGUACGAUAAACUGAGGGCGGAGUUUCUCGAAAAAUCUGCUAGUAUGGUGGCAGAAAGCGAGAAGAUGCAAGCAGAAUUUCAAGACAAUAUGAGUGCAGAAACAGAGGCUCUCCGAGCUGGCUUGGUGCAGAAGGUGUAUGAGAUGGUGGCAACUUGGAGAGAAGAAAUGGCGACUAACCUGAUGAGAAUGAAGGUGCAGAUGAAGAAGAUGGCUGAAGAAGACAAUGCGACGGCAACAGAUGUGAUAGAAUUCAUGGAGCGGAGUUUCCCUCAACUGUCACUGAUUUCCACCCUGAGUGCAUUUGCUCCGGCACCUGCUCCUGCUCCUGCGCCUGUGGAUUCUGAUAACACAAGGCCAGGCUGCAAUCACCCUGAUGAGCUGCCACUCUCCCUGACACUGCCUGGUCCUGGCGGUGCCGUGAAGAGAAGGCGGGGUUGA